rfam:Gossypium raimondii Chr13_contig_1325, whole genome shotgun sequence.
GGCUAAAAAUUUCAUCAAUCUAUACUAUUAAAAACUAGCGUGAUUGACAGAAUAACUAGAUAGUGACACAUGGGGUGCCAAUUUUAAACAGUAAAAAUGGAUGGAAUUUUUAACA